UACGAAGGGAGCUAGCGUUGUUCGGAAUCACUGGGCGUAAAGCGCACGUAGGCGGAUGUGUCAGUCAGGGGUGAAAUCCCGGAGCUCAACUUCGGAACUGCCUCUGAUACAGCACGUCUUGAGUCCGAUAGAGGUGGGUGGAAUUCCUAGUGUAGAGGUGAAAUUCGUAGAUAUUAGGAAGAACACCGGUGGCGAAGGCGGCCCACUGGAUCGGUACUGGACGCUGAGGUGCGAAAGCGUGGGGAGCGAACAGG
rnacentral:rRNA from 1 species